rnacentral:sRNA from 1 species
AUGGUCAUUUGGGUAUCCUGAAAACGGGCUUUUCAGAUUGGCCUACCAGUAUAUAAAUUUAGGAGUGCAUAUGGCCCGUAUUGCAGGCAUUAACAUUCCUGAU